ensembl:lncRNA
CUGGGUUUCUGUACAGCACUUUGAGAUAUCAGCUGAUGUACAAAGGGCUUUAUAAAUAAAUUUUAUUUGAUGAUUUGAUUUAUGCCUGGCUAUGCUGGGCUGCACUUUAGAGCAGUGUUUCCUAACCCUGUUCCUGCAGUACCCCCAACACUACACAGUUUUGUUGUAGCCCUUGACACACACCUCAUUCAACUCAUUGAGGGCUUGAUGAUUAGUUGACAAGUUGAAUGAGGUCUGCUUGUCCAGGGUUACAAUAAAAAUGUGUACUGUUGGGGGUACUGGAGGACCAGGGUUGGGACACACUGCUUUAGAGUGAUCAAUGUUUUUAGAAAUCAAUGAUUAUGACAUGAGAUAAUAACUGAACACAGGUCAAAGUGUGUGUUUUUGACCACCAACUGAAAGUUGCAAUAAUGAACUAUGACCUCAAGCUGCUCUCUCACUCUGAUGUGUGAGGGUGAUCACUAUAAUAAUAGGAAGUACAUCCACAGCCUAAUAUUACAUGUUCCUGUGUGUAUGCCCUAGCAUGGAAAUAUGGUCAGAGAGAGGGUGACGGACAAAGAUUUGGCGUUAGAGCAAAAGAGAUGAUACUAGAGCUCUCCAAAACCGGAGUAGAGUGUAGGGCAGGGCUAGGCAACGCUUGAAGGAUGUGGGAGGAGAUUAAGGUUGAUUGGCGUGAGCUGGACCUUGAUGAGGGGACGGCUGUUAACCUAAUCACUCUAUUUAACUCGGCUUAGCGCCUGUCGAUUCUAGCCUGUAAUUGAUUUCAUUCACAGUGGAAACCGUUCCUAAAACAAUUUUAAUUCCUCUUGUUCUACAACUUUGCAAUUACCUGGUUUGCCAUCGCACAGUAACAUGUCUUAAGGUGUGCGUUAUAGUCACUGUCAGUUGACAUUUUAUUUUAGGGACAGACAUUGUUUUUUAUUUUCUCCUCUCUCCCUGCAGGAUUGAUCUACCUCCGACGCACAAGCCUCCUCCUCCCUACACAGAGAGACCAUCAGUCAUCCCUCUGGUUGUCCACACACCACAGGUGGCCUCCCUUUCACAGGCUCACAGGGCUGUGCGGCAGUUUGAGAUGGCAGAGAGAACUGCCAGGCUCACACCCCGGGAACCCCGAAGCCCCUCCCACCAGCCUCUGUCCUAUCAGGAGUGGGUGUGUCACCAGAACGGGGCGGAUCGUAUCUACAUCAACCACCGGGAACACUAUGUGUGACGGACACGUCCUAAACCUUCUAUGGACCUGUCAAUCAAUCACUCACCCUGCCCCACCCAUCGCCAUGCAGGCUCACAGAUGCCAGCCUUUUCAAUGUGAAGAACCCAGGCAAAGAAAUAGUUUAUGACUUGACCAAGCCUUCAUAGAUGAGUCUACUCCACAUUUAACAUAAUUUGAGAGCAGCAGUUAUCACCUGUAAGAAGCAAGACUAAUGAGGCCGGAGCAUAAACUGCUGAGUUUCUCUGAGGAACGACAACCCAAACACCCCUCCACUCCCCUUCUCCGAACCACCGCACACACACCUGUUCUGUUCCCAACCACAUCAAUGAACAGAGGAUAACAGCAUAGGGAAGAGCAGGAAGACCGAUUUGGUACAGUACCACAAAGUAACUAUUUAAAAUGGAACACUAAGCUCUGCUGUGUGCUGUAUAGGAGUGGAAUCAUAUGAAAACACCAUACUAAGCUCUAUGUAUAGCAGUUGAAUGUGUUACUAUGUCACUGUGGCUGUGUGAUAAUCCUGUGUACAGUUAUGCUCUUUGAAUUAGUUAGAACUAAUACAUUUUUGCACUUGGAAUUGAAACAUAAAUCAUUCAUACAUCAGUGGAAAAAUCCGAUUUGUGUUAUUUCGCUGCAAUUUCGUAGAGGUCUUUCUGGCGCCAUUUAUAUAUUGAAGGGGAUCUUCUCAACUGUUGAUGAUUUUGUGUUCUCACUCUUCCAUUGUGAGUAGAUAAUAUAUAUGCAGUGUUUGUUUUUUACACAGUGGUCAGGGUUAGAGUUUUUUAAACCAUCAUAUUUAUACAGUAUAGGUAGUCUGUGUACAUGACAACGUUUUUAUAUGGUCAAACGUUCGGAAGAGUAGUCGCAGCCUUAGAGGCAUCUGCUAAGGACGUUAGCCCCACAUAGCAGUGUGUUAAUGAGUUAGGCCUCCGUGCCUCUCCUGUACUGGUGGGGACCAGGGCUCUAGCUGAGCCAACCCACAAUAAGGCCAUUGUUUGUUUCCCUGCCACUAGUGAAUAAGCUCUCAGGAAUGCAUUAACUAUUGAAAUAUAAAAAUGUGUCAGUUUCCAUCAGCUAACAAACUGCCUUGCUGGAAGUAGAGUAUGUACAGGGCAAGUUUUACCAGGCCUUUCUGAGGGGCUGAAUAUUAUGGACUGUUAUGUCAUGUAGCCUAUUGGUUUGUUAGGGAGGGCGGUUUGGGAUUGGACUGCAAAACAAAGUUGAGGGAUGAGAGGAGUACAUUUUGGUAGCUCUUCUGUACAACUUAAGUAUCGUUGUGAUGGUAUGUGUAGAGUAGCAUUGGUGUUUUGGGAUCUGACCUCGGCACAUUUUAAAAAGCCUACCUCAUCCUCAGCUCAUUCAUACUUAAAUAUAAUGGUUCACGUCUUAAAGGACAAGACAUUUUAGAAAUUAAAUAUGAGUUUAUGAAUGGAGGCUAAAGAAGAAAGCCUUAGUUUUUAAACAUGCCUUUUGCACUGUGAGUUUGUGGAUGUGAGUGAUUGAGAGUUUGAGGAUAAAUGUGUACUUAGUUUCUUCACAGAGGGAUCUUUAUUUCUGACCAGUAACCAUCCUCCGUCAUGGCCUCUUCCAGACGUCCUAUAAAAUGUGGUGUUUAGGUCAUCCUCACUAUGUGUUUUAUGAGGAGGGCUCCUAUGUUAAUGUUUUGAUGUACAGGCUGGAUAGAGCACUUCUCGCAUGCAGUUACAGCCAGGAAAUAUGUCUCUAAAAGCCUAUGUCUGCAGAGACACCUGAGGGAGCCCUGUGAGGAGAAUGCAGCCAGCUCUUUCCAUUGGACAGGAAGAACAGCUCUGGUUCAGGUCAGUGAAGGAUCAUCAUCAUUUCCAUCCAGGACAUUUUCUGGCCAUGGAGGGACUCCAACUCAUCUGUUAGAGAGACAGCAGUAAAACAGUGACAGUGAGAGGGACAUAUGUGACCCAUAGCCAGGGUUGGAUAGUAACAGAUUACAAGUAAUCCGUUACAUGUCAAUUAUUGCAAAAAAACAGUAACUGUAAUCCAUUACUUUACCAGCAAAAAUAUUAUCAGAUUACAGAUACUUUUAAAAAGCUGAUUUACUUUGAGGAUUAAAAUUUAAUUCAGAAAGGAUGUUUAAAAAAAAAAAAUCUUUGACAUUUCUCUGUUUUCUCAAUGACAUUCAAAUCAGCAUAGAAAAAAGCACAAGUUUAAAUUUGUUCCACCUGAGCGAGUCUGACCAAGUCAGAGACCACUACGAUGACACACCAAACGUGUUUGAUGGGUCGCGGGAAAAUAGCUUUUGUAGGCUACAGUCCAAGCUAUGUCUUCCAAGGGUGCGACUGCUGUCGGCAUCCAAAGAUUAUCCAACUUGAAUAAAGGCUUGGAGGAAAGGAUGACAGCAGUGGUUUAGUCUACGGCGAUACGGAUAUCCCGUAUUAUUGAUAUCUAUAUAGUGCAUUGAUGUGAAUCACACUGCUGCUCUCUCAUUUAGCUAUUUCUGCCAUAAGGAUAGUGGUGGUUGUGGAUGGCUGUUCACAAAUCUAAAUGCGUAUAUAAAUCCAAUAAUGAUUGAAUUCAAGAAGUUUAGAUUGCCUAUCAAUCAUUGUUUUUUAAACCAGUGGACAGCCAGUGAAAAAUGCUCCUCUUGCAACAGCUGCAUAGUGCGGAUCUAAGCCCAUGGAAUAAAAGUGGGGUUUUAUUGCUCAAUCUAAUUCAUGCUGAUAAAAAAUAAACAAAUCCAUAGGCCUAAUGGACACAUGCUCAAACUCGCACACUUUUGAUAGACUUAAAGGGUCAAUCUGUAGUUAAAACAUCCAUUUUUGGACUUAUAAAUUAUAUAAUUAUGACGCUCAAGCUUGCAGCCAGCUCUAGGAAGAGUCUUGGUGGUUCCAAACGUCUUCCAUUUAAGAAUGAUGGAGGCCACUGCAUUCUUGGGGACCUUCAUUGCUGCAGAAAUGUGUUGAUACCCUUCCCCAGAUCUGUGCCUAAACACAAUCCUGUCUCUGAGCUCUAUGGACAAUUCUUUCACAUGGCUUUUUUGGAAUUGACAUGCACUGUCAACUGUGGAACCUUAUAUAGACAGGUGUGUGCCUUUCCAAAUAAUGUCCAGUCAACUGAAUUUACCGGAGGUAGACUCCAACCAAGUUGUAGAAACAUCUCAAGCAUUUUCAAUAGAAACAAGAUGCACCUGAGCUCAAUUUUGAGUGUCAUAGCAAAGGGUUUGAGGACGUAUGUAAGUAAGCUAUUUCUGUUUUUUUAUUUUUUUAUAAAUGUGUAAAAACCUGUUUUUGCUUUGUCAUUAUGGGGUAUUGUGUGUAGAUUGAGGAGGAUUGUAAUUUAUUUAAACAAUUUUAGAAUAAGGCUGUAACAAAGUGGGAAAAGUCUAGGGGUCUGAAUACAUUCCGAAGUCAUUGCAAGUUUUUGUGUAUUUGUGCAUGUAUGUAUUUGUGCAAUUGUGCAAGUUCUCCCACUUAAAAAGAUGAGAGGCCUGUAAUUUUCAUC